rnacentral:rRNA from 1 species
GAUCAUGGCUCAGAUUGAACGCUGGCGGCAGGCCUAACACAUGCAAGUCGAGCGGUAGAGAGAAGCUUGCUUCUCUUGAGAGCGGCGGACGGGUGAGUAAUGCCUAGGAAUCUGCCUGGUAGUGGGGGAUAACGUUCGGAAACGGACGCUAAUACCGCAUACGUCCUACGGGAGAAAGCAGGGGACCUUCGGGCCUUGCGCUAUCAGAUGAGCCUAGGUCGGAUUAGCUAGUUGGUGAGGUAAUGGCUCACCAAGGCGACGAUCCGUAACUGGUCUGAGAGGAUGAUCAGUCACACUGGAACUGAGACACGGUCCAGACUCCUACGGGAGGCAGCAGUGGGGAAUAUUGGACAAUGGGCGAAAGCCUGAUCCAGCCAUGCCGCGUGUGUGAAGUAGGUCUUCGGAUUGUAAAGCACUUUAAGUUGGGAGGAAGGGCAGUUACCUAAUACGUGAUUGUUUUGACGUUACCGACAGAAUAAGCACCGGCUAACUCUGUG